UUCAAGAUAGUCAGACAGGGCAGAUGGGUGAUCUCCAGAAGAAGAUUGAAGGGCUUUACCUCAGUGUGAAACAGAGAAAACACUACCUCUACCGUUUGACAGACGUCAACAAGAGAAGGCAUCAGAGAAAUUCGGGUGAUUCUGAGAAAAAUUGUUGAGGACAAGGCAGCCUUGACAGCUGCCAUAGUUCAACUUCACGAGCAGCGGGCAGAGUUUAGGCUCCCCACAGUGGAUGCUCAACACUGACAACUUUGUGUGGCCAUGGGAGAACCUUGGCACCAACUGCAGGAGGAAAAGAGGAUCCUGGUGCAGGAGAUGAAGAGGCACUGGGGAGCCUACAAAGAGAAGCGGGAACUCUGGAG